rnacentral:rRNA from 1 species
GACGAACGCUGGCGGCGUGCCUAAUACAUGCAAGUUGAGCGCUGAAGGUUGGUACUUGUACCGACUGGAUGAGCAGCGAACGGGUGAGUAACGCGUGGGGAAUCUGCCUUUGAGCGGGGGACAACAUUUGGAAACGAAUGCUAAUACCGCAUAAAAACUUUAAACACAAGUUUUAAGUUUGAAAGAUGCAAUUGCAUCACUCAAAGAUGAUCCCGCGUUGUAUUAGCUAGUUGGUGAGGUAAAGGCUCACCAAGGCGAUGAUACAUAGCCGACCUGAGAGGGUGGUCGGCCACAUUGGGACUGAGACACGGCCCAAACUCCUACGGGAGGCAGCAGCAGGGAAUCUUCGGUAAUGGACGAAAGUCUGACCGAGCAACGCCGCGUGAGUGAAGAAGGUUUUCGGAUCGUAAAACUCUGUUGGUAGAGAAGAACGUUGGUGAGAGUGGAAAGCUCAUCAAGUGACGGUAACUACCCAGAAAGGGACGGCUAACUACGUG